GGGGCCGGCCUGGAGCGGAGAAGAGGGCCUCCCGGUGAAAUUGGACAGCCCGGAACGACAAACCCUCCCCGGUCCCUGCAGCAUAGAUGGCCCGGACCAGCUCUCCCUUCCUUCCCACCGAGGGGAGAUGCCUGCCGGUGUUAAAAUGUACACAAAGAUAUCGGAAGACCCAAUGGCUUUUGUCAAGCGUUCAGAAAAUGAUCCCUUUUACUGAGGUGCAACAGGAUUGAGACCACACUGUACCUUCUUUCCUGCAUCUGGUAAGAUAGUAAAGAAUUCUCACUCUGUAGGAUAUCGUAAAGAGUUACACCACCACUCGACUUUGC